UCUUUAUUUGGCAUUUAUAUCUCCAAAGGAAAAAGAAAUGAACCUAUCAGGAAUUACAAAAAGAAUUAAAAUAAAUGCAAUAUGAAAACCUACUAUUGACUACAGAGACCUUUCACCAACACAUUCUCACAUGCACAAGAAACAAGAUUUUUUUUAGUUUUUUUUUGUAUGCAAAAAAUACGCAUAAGAGAAAAUGUCCCUGCAGUCCUUUCUCUGAGACGGCUACUGAGAACUUGGUGGAUGAUGGAAGUGAGGCUAAUUAGUAAGGAGAAUACUCAUCUGCUCUUGGAAAAUGAUCAGGCAGGGGAUAAUUCUAACAUCUCCAUGGAUAAUUGUUUUUAACUUAUUUUAACACAUGAACAUAGGCUUAUAAGACCAUAGUGGAGAUGAGGAAAGAAGCUUGCCAUAUUGCCCCUUUCCCAAAAGGACAUAAUUGUACCUUUAUGAAAUCCUCUUCCAUUUAUUGUGCAGAGUUUUCUCCACGACCCCCAAGCUUAAGCCACAAAGUCCCUUCCAUGAGCUUUUGGGCUGCUCAUAAGCAGUACCUUGAUAGAACUGAUUAGAGUUACUCUCAGUUUACAAUCAAGGCCAGGCUGAUUUUACAUUUCAUCUUUUAGACCCAAGUUGCCCCUGUGCUCUGAGAGAUGGUGUUGGGGAAUAGGGAAAUAGAAUUUAAGUCAGACUUUGAUUUAAAUCUUGCUUCAACCAUUUGGUAGCUGUGUGAUCCUAGCCAAGUCAUUUAACAUUUUGGGGAUGACAAUGUCCUCAUCUGUAAAAUGAGGAGGUUAAAUUUUACAUCUGAGAUCCUUUUCAGCUCUAAAUCUAUGAUUUCAUAUGGUGAUGGUAAUUUUGAAUUGUAUCACUAAUUAAGUGUGAUGGUGGAAUUGGCUGAUGGGUCAUUGCAUUGGCAAUUUCCUUCUAACCUCACGGCCAGACUCUGACCUUCCUUCUCUCCUCAAGGAUUCUGAGAUGGGAAAAGGAAUCCAUUUUCUGCAAGUGAAAACUUAUGGUUUGAUUAAGACUGGCUGUGAGGUUCUGUAAGGCACUUGAUCAAGGAGAUGCUUAGAUUUCAGGAAUGAACAAGGGAGUUAACAAUGCCUUAGACUAAAGAUAGGAGAAGGAUUAGAAUUCUAUGCAAAAUGGAUCUUUCAGAGUUGGAGUGUCUGAUCUGAAAUUGCAUACUUUUUCAAUGAAAGGGAAAAAAGAAAUCUAUUUAGGGAAAAUUCCAAUUUAAACAGCUUUUCAUCAUUGCUCAUGCAUUACAACCCAAAUCAUUUAAUUUUGAAGAAAAGAUGGAUCCUUGUCUGUCUUUUACACACAGAAACUUGUUUGUUCUAUUAGCCAAUCAACAAAUAUUUACCAUGCGAGAAUUAUGCUAGAUGGAAUACCUAUGGUCCUGUGUAUUGGUCUGAAAUAGAUGUAGUGCCAGAAAAGGAAAGUUAGAAUUGAAAUUCUCAAAAACAGAAAGUGUCUUUUCUCAAAUUUUUUUUUCCCAAGCCAGAUAGUGCCAGAGUUGUCUUUUUUCUCUGUUGAAAUUAGAAGUCAAAUUUUAAUUCCACUCUCUAAUGGUUCUAUGAUCUUUUAUAAGUGGGUAUUCCUUUCAAUGAAACAGAUUUCAGUUCAUCCAUGCCUACCCAUUCUGGGUGAUUUUCUUUUAUACAGAAUGAAUGCCUGGUAAAUAGUAGGUGUUUAAGAAAUGCUUGUUGAUUGAUAUCCUACCCAUAAAUUGCUAUUGAAGAUAUUUUAUUUUUGUUUCAAAGAAUAACAAAUCUAACGAAUUGAGAAAAAAAAACACCCUCAAAACAAAUCAGAUAUAUCUCCCCCUAUUGUCUGUUGCCUCCAUUGCUUUUUAGCAUAAUCUACCAUCAGCAUUAAAUUUACCCCCUUGCUGCCAAUCUUGGGGGAUUAUAACAGGACUUCAUUUUGUGGAAGGAAAUUAAAAUCACAUGGAUCUGAGUCAUAAACUCAAAGACACUCAGAGUUUGAAGAAAUUUCAAAGGAUUAAGAGUAGACAAGUCUUCCUACACUCAUGGAAACUCGGCUCCCUUCAUAAGUCUGUACCUCUGGCCACUAUCUCUCUAGUACAAUGUGUUCCCUCUCUCAUUCCCCAUUUCUGACAAUCUGGGUCAGAAAAAGAUGUAAUUUCCCUCCUUGACUCUCAACACUAUGUCAGACCUUGCCUCUGUGGCCAUCAUUGAGUAAUCUCUCCUUCUUGGAAGUUUACCCUAUCCAUUUGUAUCACUUGCUAUCCAUCCUUUUGUUAUAAUCUCCCAAACCCAAUCUCUAUAGAAAGAGCUAUAUUGUUGUACUUUUUAAAAAAACCUCUGACCUUCUUUAAUAUCUGAAUUCUGAUACAGAUAUCUUUUUGGAGCCCUCAAAAUCAUCCCCAUGGAAUCAAAUCUUCCUACACAAUUUCCUAUGACAAUCUUUCUUCUUCCAUUGGCUUUUCUUUGAGGCAGUCCUUAUUCCCACUCACAGAUAUCAAUGUCCUUGGAAAUGAUGGAAGAAAACCCUGACCAUCCAGUGUGCAAUGUAGUAUGUAGUCUGGGCUGCAGGCAUGAUGAGGCCAUGCAUGGAAUUAGACAUUAAAUAAUAAUAAAUUCUUCCCUCCCCUCCAAAGUCUAAAAAGUACUGAAAAAUAUAAAAACUCAAUUCCUAGUCCAGAAAAUAAAAUAUUCAUGAACAACAGGCAAUGGUAAUAACAAUAAAUGAAAAAAAAAAAGAAUCAACUUGUCAAAAAGUGUUUCAAGAAAAGAUAGCACCUUUGUGAAAAAUAAAAAAAUUAAAACAAAUGAAAGAAUGUGCCCAAUGGAGUAGGGGGUGGUGGAGAAGACCUGGAUGUGAGACUCCCAGGGCUCUUUGCUAAGAGAAGGUGUUGGUCUGGAGGAUGUAUGGUUACUAGCAGGUUGCCAGGGUCACAAGUAGAGGUACAAAAUUCAGAUCAUGCUGACAGACAACUGGCCAAUGGAAAGCUGCAGUGAGUUAGCCUGGAUAAAAUGGGAGAGCACAAACUGAGAGGGUUUAGGUUCUUAGAAGACAAGUUACAGUAUGGUUUUCCUGCCCCCAGUACCUUCUCUGGGGCCGGGAUCUAUUAACUCUUAUAUAAUCUUCUUCUGCCCUCCUCUUCCCACAACCCAGAAUGGCCACCACCCAUCCAUCCUCCUAUUAACAGAUUUCUCUGGCAUUCUAUUAUUGCAUUUCCUCUAGCUCACCUGAGAGCUGUAU
rnacentral:lncRNA from 1 species